rnacentral:rRNA from 1 species
CCUACGGGAGGCAGCAGUAGGGAAUCUUCCACAAUUGGCGAAAGCCUGAUGGAGCAACGCCGCGUGGGUGAAGAAGGUCUUCGGAUCGUAAAACCCUGUUGUUAGAGAAGAAAGUGCGUGAGCGUAACUGUUCACGUUUCGACGGUAUCUAACCAGAAAGCCACGGCUAACUACGUGCCAGCAGCCGCGGUAAUACGUAGGUGGCAAGCGUUAGCCGGAUUUAGUGGGCGUAAAGGGAAUGCGGGCGGUCUUUUAAGGCUGAUGGGAAAGCCUUCGGCUUAACCGGAGUAGUGCAUUGGAAACUGGGAGACUUGAGUGCGGAAGAGGAGAGUGGAACUCGAGGUGUAGCGGUGAAAUGCGUAGAUAUAUGGAAGAACACCAGUGGCGAAAGCGGCUCUCUGGUCUGUAACUGACGCUGAGGUUCGAAAGCGUGGGUAGCAAACAGGAUUAGAUACCCCUGUAGUC